CUCGCCGCUUCCCGCAAGUUUGUCCGUCACUGCCGCCGGCGAGCGUUCCCGGAACCCAGUCGCGGGAACCCCCAUCCUGGCCCCUUUGAGAAGCCCCAAGGAUUCCAGCCAUGGGGAACGGAUCACACCCUGUAGUCAUUUUGCAGCCUAAAAUCCGACAAGGAACAGAAGAUGAGAAAUAAAGGAUUGAGGAGUUUCUACAUCAUCAACACUUCACCUGAGGCUGGAAGGGACCGCGUAACUAUGCCCACCCACCACCCCAACAGGAUCUUCGGGCUGCUCUUUCCUUUUACAGAAAAUGGAGCUCAGUGAGGUGACCUAACCCUACCUGCAGGGCUUGCCUGAAGACACUGUUUCUAAGGGACCAAGUUAAUUCCCAAGCCCAGAUCUCUGCAAUCCCAAUUCAGUCCCUGUCACAGUGCUUUAUUUCCCAGACACAAAAAGGAAGCCAAAGUCAUAAUAAAGUCACUGAGUUUUAUUCUUCACAUA